rnacentral:rRNA from 1 species
GACGGGGGCCCGCACAAGCAGUGGAUUAUGUGGUUUAAUUCGAAGCAACGCGAAGAACCUUACCAGGUCUUGACAUCCGACUGACGAGAUAGAGAUAUGUCAGGUGCCCUUCGGGGAAAGUCGAGACAGGUGGUGCAUGGUUGUCGUCAGCUCGUGUCGUGAGAUGUUGGGUUAAGUCCCGCAACGAGCGCAACCCUUGCCAUUAGUUGCUACGCAAGAGCACUCUAAUGGGACCGCUACCGACAAGGUGGAGGAAGGUGGGGACGACGUCAAAUCAUCAUGCCCCUUAUGACCUGGGCUACACACGUAAUACAAUGGCCGUAAACAGAGGGAAGCAAAGUCGCGAGGCGGAGCAAAUCCCCAAAAACGGUCUCAGUUCGGAUCGCAGGCUGCAACCCGCCUGCGUGAAGUUGGAAUUGCUAGUAAUCGCGGAUCAGCAUGCCGCGGUGAAUACGUUCCCGGGCCUUGUACACACCGCCCGUCACACCAUGGGAGUUUGUAACACCCGAAGUCUGUAGUCUAACCGCAAGGAGGACGCAGCCGAAGGUGGGAUAAGCGACUGGGGUGAAGUCGUAACAAGGUAGGCGUUCGGAA